CGGGGCCUUUGCAGCCUCCAUACUUAGCGAUGGCCUCCUGGACCCACUUUCUCUCUCAAACUGUCUUUUCUCAUUCCUUUGACUCUGCUGGACUUCGUCAUCCCCACGACCCGGUGUUGAGUCUGAUCACCCAACAUCAUCAGGAUAGAAGCUUCCCUCUCCUCCUCCAGACCUUGUGGUGUGCACGUGGGAGUCCAGGGACUAGAAUACUCAUUUUCAAAGCCUGACAUUGGACCCGGGAGACAGGGAAAAACCAUCCUCAGGAAGUCACAAGAGAAAGAGAGAGCACAGAGGUAUACAGCAUGUGAAACUUUGGACUGCUCAAAGAAGACAUUUUCAAACAUAUCUUUUCAGGACUGUCAAUAGGAACCGUAAGUGAGUUUCAGGUUCGCUCAUCUAAUUGUAGCAGUUAACUGACUGACAAGGUGAAGAAGGAUUGUGGUUUUCUGUUUCAGAUGGAAAAACUAAAAACAUAAGAGAAUCUCACAAUUAUCCACAUAUGCCCCAAAAGUUCAUACUACAGAAGAAUCUAUAUAUACUUAAACAGACUAUUGAGAAAAGUCAAGUUGUUUUUCUAUAUGAACCCAAUAAUGCAUUUUCAAGACACUGGAUAAAUUUAAAGUAAGGGUCUUACACAUUUACUACUGAAGGGCCAGUUAAUACAAAAAGAUCUAAUGCCGUUAUUGCAGACUUAUUCAACCAAAUUUCCAGCUAAUGCUUUUUAAAGAAUAAUUUCACAAGAAGUUUUAUUUUGGGCACAUGCCUUUGGUCUAUACUCCUUUUUGUCAAGUCAGCCAUAGCCUAUGAUCAAUGUGAGUUCUCCAGCCCACUUAAACAUGCACCCAUUCGAACACAUUGAGACCCACCUUCAGAUAGGAUGCCUAUAUUCUUUGGAUAGGCACUUAUUAGGUAAUGAAACAAUGAUAAGUAAUAACUGUCCUUUUAUAAUUGCUUACCUAAAAGAAAAAAGCUCAAUCACCUAGCCAGGUAAAACUCUUGUCAAGUAUUCACACAAUGUACUGUAACAUGAACCAAAUGCCUAAAUGAUACAUUUCUGCCCUCCAGAUACUUAAAACCUAAGUGGUACACACACACACACACACACACACACACACACACACAGACACACACACACACACACAUCUAUAGUCACCCUAUAUGGUUAAAAUGGAAAGAAGUACUAUAAAAAGAAAGAAAUAGUGUAAGAACCAACUUCCUAGUUGGAAAGUAGGUAUGCGAGAGACCAGUAUUUUAAUUUUUUUUCUCAAUCUUAGAAAAACGGGCAUUUUCCAGGAAACGGAAAGACUAGAAAUAAAAGUAGAAGAAAAAGGCUUAAACAAUAUUCUCCUUUAACUUUCUGUGAUACAUAUUCAUGCUAGUUUAAAAAAAAAAAUUCUCAAAGUAACUACAGCGGGAAUGUAGUAAGGUCACCAGAAGAAAUGUCCUGGGUCCAUUGGCCCAAUCUCUUACUGCUGGAUGAUGCGUGUGAAGAAACCAGAGAGGCGCAGAGUGAGGCAGUGAGGAAAUAAAAAUAGAGUCCGCGCUUUCAAGUGUUUCCUGAUCUGCUGGGGAAAAUGGUCAUAUUAACACAUGGAGUCAUGGCACAGUGUGUGCUAAGGAUCAUGGUAAAGGUGUACACAGUGAUUUGCUAACAAGAGGGAUAGAAGGUGUGGCUCAGGGAAUGACACAGCUGUCUGAAAGAGUCAAAAUGUACCACAGAGAACGUGACAGAGAUCUGGAUCUCAAAGAAAUGAGAGGUUGCCUAGGGAGCAACAACAAGGAGGGCAUUCCUGGCAGAGGAAAUGGCAUGUGCAAAGAGACAUCAAGAGGAUGAAGCAUUAGAAAUAUAACUAAAUUAUGGUUAUAGCUUGGGUGCCUAUUAAUAGAUCUGCUCAAUAUUAGGCAAAAACAAUAACAAUUGAGAAUUUGUAUAUCAUCUUUGGUGUCUUCUUUGAUAACUUAUUUUGUGUAUGUGUGUUUUUCUUUCCUGCUACUACUCUGGAGACUUGUUCCACUGGUGACCUUUAUGCAUUCUAAACAAUCGUAAUUUCACAGAGUAAGUUGUUCUCUUCUCCCUAUGUGUUUUGUCACUAGCCAUUGUUUUAAAGUAGCUUGCUUGGUUUUUUGUAUUGCAUCUUGUGAAAGCCUAGAUGCCUAGGGGCUUUCAUACAAAUGUAGAAGUCAAAAUACAUUUCUUCUUGGAAGGUAAUAAAGUGUGAAUGUUUUCAACAAAUAAAG
rnacentral:lncRNA from 10 species